UACGGUGAAUACGUUCCCGGACCUUGUACACGCCGCCCGUCAAGCCAUGGAAGCCGGGUGUACCUAAAGUCGAUAACCGUAAGGAGUCGCCUAGGGUAAAACUGGUGACUGGGGCU
rnacentral:rRNA from 1 species